rnacentral:misc_RNA from 1 species
AGAUGGAUAUUUUUACGGUAUGUUGUUAAUGUUAUGCUUGCUUCUACAUAUUCUUUACCUUGUAUUAAAACAUUAUUUUUAUAACAACGUUGCACUUGAUUAGAUAAAAAUUAGUUCAAUAAUACCUAAUUCCCUUCUUUUUUAAUUCUUUGUCAAUGUUCAAGAAUUUUUAGCUUAGAAAAAAGAAUACUUUUUCGUUGGUAAAUUUUUCAUUUGUACAAGUGAGACAUUAGUUUACUAGUGAACAAAUAGUUGCAGUGUUUGGUUCAAUGUGAUACACAACUGGCAAUGCAAUAGCUUGUCUGGUAUCUGCCCCAUCUAUCCACUAGUGCACUGUCAGACUUAAUGAAGACUGAUGCAUGGUGAUGACCCGAUAAGUCAAGGGGAGGACAUCCAGGACACUAAACUUCGGGUAACAUUCCAGUGGCAUUUCUAUUUAUAGCACUGGAUUCAGUGUCACCUGACUGGUAGUCUAUUUAUAGCACUGGAUUCAGUGUCACCUGACUGGUAGUCUAUUUAUAGCACUGGACACUGGUAGUCUUAGUUCAGCUCCACAUGGUUGGCGUUUCAUCCGUUUCUGUGUUGCCAUGGGAACCAUGCCUUCUGUGUGAUUUCUACCUCCGCUAGAACAAAUCAUUAUUGUGAUCAAACUAUUUAAACAAUUUAAUGGCAUGGACUGCUACAGGUCCUGGCAUUGUGAUGGUGUAAUCUGACCGGCAUUUACUGACUUGAGGUCUCUCAUGAACUACAUGUACAACUAACCCUUCACAGAAAUUCUCCCCCUCUAAUUCUGAUGUCUCUGUAGAAUAUAACAUUUCUAACUCAUAAAGAUUUAUGAGCAUUUAGUGAUUAUUAUUUAAUUUCCAUGCCAGGCAGAUGAAUAAUUUGUGUAAAGGUUGAAUUUUGUGCCCUGUUUAGCUUUGUACAUUUAAGUAGUUCUCAGUUCAAGGAAUCAAAAUAAUGAAGUGCAAUUGGCUGUAUAUAUAGUGUGAGGGGAUGUAUAUAUGUAAAUGUAUAAACAACACUGCAUAUCAGUCGGCUGAGUCUGUAGCUCCCAUUGUGUAGGCUUCUGCUAAUUAUUGUAUAGAAUUUUUAUAACACAGUAAUAACUAUGUAUUAAAUGCAAAUU